rnacentral:tRNA from 1 species
GCCUCCUUAGUCUAAAGGUCAGGACACUGGCCUCUCAAGUCGGAGAUGUAGGGUUCAAGUCACACAGGAGGUA